GACGAACGCUGGCGCCGUGCCUAAUACAUGCAAGUCGAACGCUUCUUUCCUCCCGAGUGCUUGCACUCAAUUGGAAAGAGGAGUGGCGGACGGGUGAGUAACACGUGGGUAACCUACCCAUCAGAGGGGGAUAACACUUGGAAACAGGUGCUAAUACCGCAUAACAGUUUAUGCCGCAUGGCAUAAGAGUGAAAGGCGCUUUCGGGUGUCGCUGAUGGAUGGACCCGCGGUGCAUUAGCUAGUUGGUGAGGUAACGGCUCACCAAGGCCACGAUGCAUAGCCGACCUGAGAGGGUGAUCGGCCACACUGGGACUGAGACACGGCCCAGACUCCUACGGGAGGCAGCAGUAGGGAAUCUUCGGCAAUGGACGAAAGUCUGACCGAGCAACGCCGCGUGAGUGAAGAAGGUUUUCGGAUCGUAAAACUCUGUUGUUAGAGAAGAACAAGGACGUUAGUAACUGAACGUCCCCUGACGGUAUCUAACCAGAAAGCCACGGCUAACUACGUGCCAGCAGCCGCGGUAAUACGUAGGUGGCAAGCGUUGUCCGGAUUUAUUGGGCGUAAAGCGAGCGCAGGCGGUUUCUUAAGUCUGAUGUGAAAGCCUCCGGCUCAACCGGGGAGGGUCAUUGGAAACUGGGAGACUUGAGUGCAGAAGAGGAGAGUGGAAUUCCAUGUGUAGCGGUGAAAUGCGUAGAUAUAUGGAGGAACACCAGUGGCGAAGGCGGCUCUCUGGUCUGUAACUGACGCUGAGGCUCGAAAGCGUGGGGAGCAAACAGG
rnacentral:rRNA from 1 species